CAGCAGCCGCGGGAAUACGGAGGGUGCAAGCGUUAUCCGGAUUUAUUGGGUUUAAAGGGUCCGUAGGCGGAUCUGUAAGUCAGUGGUGAAAUCUCACAGCUUAACUGUGAAACUGCCAUUGAUACUGCAGGUCUUGAGUAAAUUUGAAGUGGCUGGAAUAAGUAGUGUAGCGGUGAAAUGCAUAGAUAUUACUUAGAACACCAAUUGCGAAGGCAGGUCACUAAGAUUUAACUGACGCUCAUGCACGAAAGCGUGGGGAGCAAACAGGAUUAGAUACCCGUGUAGUCCCUGUCUCUUAUAC
rnacentral:rRNA from 1 species